UCUCAGGUGUGUAAGAAAAGAGGUUGCUUAGACUGGCCAGGUUGGCAGGCGGGAAGCAGGGAAUGGCUGGGUCGGGAGAACGUGGGCAGCAUAUGCCAGCCCAUGAACAAGAACUGGCUACCAAAGUGUUACAGAUACAAUCCAAACGAUUUUACUUGGAUGUUAAACAGAACAGAAGAGGGAGAUUCAUUAAAGUUGCUGAGGUUGGACCAGCUGGUAAAAAAAGUCGUCUAUUGUUAGCAAUGUCAUCAUCUUUAGAAUUACGAGACCAUCUUACAACUUUCAGUGAACUAUAUGCUUCACUGGGCCCACCUAAUCCAGAUAGCAUACCAGAAGAUGGUAAGUUAAAGAGUGAAGUAAUGGUAAAAGAAAAUAAACGGUAUUAUCUUGACCUGAAGGAAAACUCUAGAGGAAGGUUUUUGCGAAUUUCACAAACUACAGUGAGGGGAGGUCCUCGUUCGCAAGUUGCUAUACCAGCACAAGGGAUGAUAGAAUUUCGUGAUGCACUCACUGAUCUUCUGGAAGAAUUUGGCACCGAAGAUGAUACAGGAUAUGGAUUUAAACGGGAUUUACCUGAAGCUCAACACCUGCGUAUAGAAAACAAACAUUUUUACUUUGAUGUAGGCCAGAACAGCAGGGGAAUCUACAUGCGCAUAUCUGAGAAGAAUGUCCAAACAUCAUGUCUACUCUAGUCUCAGUUGCAAGUAUGCAGUUAGAAGGUGUGAUGUUUGCAUAAAAUGCAAAUCUUAACAUUGUGGAUGCAUCCGUUAUGGGCUUGUUAAAACCAAAGUACUCGGAAAGAGAAUCCAAUCAAAAACGGACAAGAAAACUAUAAAGAAAAGGAAUAUUGAUUUUACUUCCAGGUGAAAGGAAAUUUUAGGACUGCAAUAACCAUUCCAGAGAAAUCCUGGGGUAAUUUUCGAG
rnacentral:misc_RNA from 1 species